rnacentral:rRNA from 1 species
UGCAAGUCGAGCGAGAAAGGGGAGCAAUCCUUGUGACUUUAGCGCACGGGUGAGUAACACGUGGGUAAUCUGUUUAGGAGUGGGGAAUAACACCGGGAAACCGGUGCUAAUACCGCAUACGAUCACGAUGUUUGCGAACGUUGUGAUUCAAGCCAUAAGUCGCUCUGAGAGGAGCCCGCGGCUGAUUAGCUAGUUGGUGGGGUAAUGGCCCACCAAGGCAACGAUCAGUAUCCGGUCUGAGAGGACGGUCGGACACACUGGAACUGAGACACGGUCCAGACUCCUACGGGAGGCAGCAGUGGGGAAUUUUUGGCAAUGGGGGCAACCCUGACCAAGCAACGCCGCGUGGGUGAUGAAGUCUCUUGGGACGUAAAA